GAUGAAGAACGCAGCGAAAUGCGAUACGUAAUGUGAAUUGCAGAAUUCAGUGAAUCAUCGAGUCUUUGAACGCACAUUGCGCCCCCUGGUAUUCCGGGGGGCAUGCCUGUCCGAGCGUCAUUGCUGCCCUCAAGCACGGCUUGUGUGUUGGGCCUCCGUCCUCCUCCCGGGGGACGGGCCCGAAAGGCAGCGGCGGCACCGCGUCCGGUCCUCGAGCGUAUGGGGCUUCGUCACCCGCUCUUGUAGGCCCGGCCGGCGCUUGCCGACACAUCAAUCUUUUUUCCAGGUUGACCUCGGAGCAGGUAGGGAUACCCGCUGAACUUAAGCAUAUCAAUAAGCGGACGA
rnacentral:misc_RNA from 1 species